CCUCGUGAUCCACCUGGCUAGGCCUCCCAAAGUGCUGGGAUUACAGGUGUGAGCCACUUGUGCCCGGCCCCGUUCCCAUUUUCUAUAGAAGGAAACUUAGGCGUAGAGAAAUUAGGAAGUGUGUCCAUACUCACAACAGUCAACACCCUUGGUACCCCUGUCAAGAGCCUGUGAGGUCAUGAUCGCCAGUUCUCUGCACCCAUCCCCCAGUCCUGUGUGCUUUGCUGCCAAGGGCUUUAUGGCUACAAAAUUCUUCAAAGAUUUGCCUGUGGGCCACGGUGGCUGCCUCACCUGUACCUCAGCGUUCAGGAGCUGAUUACUGAACCUCCACCCGCCAGCUGAUGACUAAAUGGUGAAGAAGUACCCAAAAAAGACCAGCUUCUUUGCCUUUGGAUGAAUUCUGGGGUGCAAUUUCCAUUUCUGAGCUCCCUGAGAAUCAGGUUAGGACUGGCCUUCAACUGAAAUCACACCUCUUCUCCUCUAGUGAGCUUCUCAAACAUUCACCCCUUUCCCUGUGGAGUUCUUUGAUCUUUGCCUUGGGGUCUGCUUCUCAGACACUCUGAAGACUGUCACUCACCUAAGUGGCAGGGGUCAGGAUUUGAAUCCAAGGCGGCCUGACUCGAGCACAGGCGCUUUUAGCCGGCACACUGGACUGUGUGCUUUCUGAUUAUUGGUGUGGGUCUGUUAACAGGUUUACCCAGUUGUAGAGUCUACAUAACUACGCUUCUUAUUUACCACACAUUGAAGUGUCUCUCUGUACCGCGCGUAUGGCAGAUGCACCUGACAGCAAUAACUUAGGCAAACCUAGAGAAUGAUCUAAGAAGAAUUUUGUUUCAGUUCUGAGCUAAGGAGUACGGGAGUGGCCAACUUCUUCCCUAUGAAGAACAUCUGAAAUCCUGGCCUGUUCCUUGAAAUGCAGGCCAUCCAGGGGAUGAAGGUCCUUUGUUUUGAGUUAAAUGGAGGUUGCUAAGUAGAGGCUGCUAAGCCAAAAUGCUGUAUAUUCUGCAUACUUUUUGCAAAUGAUAGUGAGUCUUCCUACCUAGUCCACUGCUUCUGGACCACCCUAUAGGUAAGUCUUCAAUAAAGCCUGUGUCUCAUUCGCUGGCUCUAGGUCUUUUCUUUUCUUUAAAUUUAAAUAUAUUUUAUUGUUAAAAAUGCUAAUAAUCAUCUGAGGCUUCAGCCAGUUGUAAUCUUUUUGCUGAUGGGAAAUAAAAUAAACUAUGAAGUUUCCUGCAUUGAUUGACUCUUCCACUUAGAAAAGAUUUCUCUGUAGCAUGCUAGGCUGUUGGAUAGCAUUUUACCCAAAGUAAAGCUUCUUUCGAAAUUUGAAUCGGUCCUCUCAUCUCCCGCUGCUGCUUCAUCAACUGCGUUGUUGGAAUAUUCUAAUUCCCUUGCUGCCAUUUCAGCAAUAUUCAUGGUAUCUUCACCAGGAAUGAAUUUUAUCUCAAAAAAACCACUUCCUUUGCUCAUUAGUAAGAAGUGACUCCGCAUUCAUUCAUUCUGCUAACUUUAUACGUUUGCCUGCAGUUUCCACACUUCUCAGCCUUCACAGAACUGUAGAGAGUGAAGGCCUGUCUCUGGAUUAGGCUCCGGCUUAAGGGAAUGAGUGACAGGCUCCAUCCUCUGUCCAGACCACGCAAACUUUCUCCCUAACAGCAAUAUAUCUAUCCUGCUUUCUUUUCAUUUGUGUUUUCCCUUGAGUAGCACUUUGAAUGUCCUUUACUAACGUUUUCUGUGCAUUCACAAAUUGGCUAAGUGGCUCCAGGUCUUUUCUUUGGGCUCUCAGACACACUGCCAUCCCUACAGCAGUCAACAGGUGUUGGCAGACACCUUGAGAAUGUGCGUUCCUCACCCCUUUGAAGAAAAUCCUUUGCAGAGGGGAAAGUAACACUCCGCUGGGUCUUCAUGCUUAUUUAAAACCCGUCAAUUAAAUAUAACUGUGUGUUACAGGCACAUGCAAGCUUCCCUCCGCCUCUCACACCAAGUAAAAACAAAUGCAAUAUUGAUAAACGUUUCUUUCCCAUGACCCAUGGUGGGCAUAGAUUAAUUAAUGGAGAAAUAAUAGGUUGGCAAUAACAUUCCAUGGGCGCCUUCCGCUGAAUCAGCAGUAGCGGCUAGAAUUUCAUAAGCCAUCACCACUUCAAGAGAGGAGGAGCUGUAGCCCGGUGUGCACACGUUGGUCACACCCCACCGUGCUGGGCUCUGACUUCUGGACAGUGUUGAAUGCAUAGGCUGUUACUCCCCAAACCUCUCGCCACGCCUGGAUUUAGCCUGAGUCAGGGUGAGUUUAACUACCCGUCAAUCACCUUCACAGAAAACACUUUGGGUCCCGACUAUUGGACUAUUGGUUGCUCCUUUGCUUCUCGAGGUCCUUGAGUUUGUCUUGUGCUAAACUUCAUGGAAGACACAGGAAAUGUGUCCCUAAAGCGGCCUCAGCAUCAAAGAUGUUUCUGUGACAACGACCCUCUUCAUACCACAGAACUGUUUAUUUUUUCAAUUAACAAAGGAUAAGGUGGUCCACUGGGGAAUUUUGGCUUGGAGCCCCAGAAUCUAAAUAUGUAUGCGGAGCAGGGGGUUAAAAAUACCUUAGAUUAAUCCAGUUUUUGCAGCACCUGGGGCUGCGGUGGGGAUGGGGGCAGUUAAUUUAAGCACUAACUUUUGAAGGAGCAAUUCUCUGCCAGUUUGGCAGCCUAGGCUCAGGCCACAGAGGCUGGUGGUAAGUAUUUCACCUGGCUACACUCAGGGACUAGCACAGGGCCCGCACUGGCACGCCUCCGUAUCUAUCCACGUUCUUCUGUUUUGCUUUGUCUCGCUCCCUGAACAAGUGGCCCCUUAUUAUCUAACUUGAGAUUCAGACUUCAAGACGGAGUCCAUGUUUUGAAUUAAGGAAGAAUGAGCCUGGGGUUAGGUGAUCCAAGCCCCCCUUGCGUUAGGCUCAGUGCGAUACUUUUCUUCUUUUCCCUGUCAGCAGGUCUAUCGCGUUUCAGAAGAGAUCAGGCGUAUAUGUAGAAAUUCUCUAAAUUCUGUAGCUCUGCUAUGCAAAAUUUUCUAUUGAAGAAUAAAGAAAAUAAAAGGGAAGGGGUCUCAUCAGGAACGACUAAGAUUGCUCAGGAGGGUGGAGUAAGAGGCCACACAUUGAAACGUUCCUUUUGUUUCCUUCCUUACCUUAUUUCCUCCAGUCUGAAAGUAUAGAUGUUUGAAACUCUUCCAGGAGUGGAGAUGACCAAUGACCAGUCUGAUCCUGGAAGAGGCUAGACUUCUGCUGCCUUUGGCAGAGAGCCCCAAUACAAUUUUAAAAAUUUACUCUCAAGCCCCCGGACCUGGGAAAUAUUUACAACACUUAGCCACUUGUUGACUUGAAUACGUGAAGUCUUCCAGACAAGCUGUUUCUUUUCACUGUGGCAUCAGUAUAAUUUAUACUGGAUGGCAUUCUGAGUCUGUCUCCUCUCCCUUCCUCCAUCCCAUUUACUCACUUGAAAGAACAGUCUCUUGAAAACAUCUGAGCAUCUAUGAACAAACUGCGAGUCUCCUUAGGACACAGGACACCUCUUUCCUGGGCAUUGUGCAUUAAUAUUUAUAUAAUAAAACAAAAUGAUGGAGGGUGCAAAGGUCUUCUGGUUUAAAGUUGUUUAGAGUUUGCACAACCCAUAAAAUAGCAGCCACCUCCAGAAGGUGGAUUUCUAUCUCAGCUCAGAGAAUCCACUAACAUGUGAGCCAGCCUUGGGCAAAACUGAGAAGUGGGAAAACUUGUUUUGUUUCUCUCAGCCCCUCCACUUCCCGGCGAGUGUCUUGCCCUCGUCUCCUCUCCCUGCAUCUCUUGCUGUUCCCUCAAACCCAUCCGUUCUGGUGUUAGGUAAGGCUGGGUUUCAUUUAGCAUGUUAACUUUCCUCUGCAUUUAUAUCUUAUAUUGAAUUAUAAAAGGAAAGGGUCUGUCCUUUUAAAGGCAUUGUGGGGGACCUAAGGGGAUAUGGAGGACAGAAGAAACUUCCUGAGGAACUUUGACCAAGAGAAACACCAUUCGAAAAUGCCUAAGCUAACAAAACUGGGUUUGGGACAUCUGCCUUUGGCCCGUUCUUGUGGACUACCACGUCCCAGGAUACUGGUUUUCCUCCUAAUAUGGUGAAAUACGCCAAAAGCAAGUCAAUUCUCCUGUGGGAUUUAGAGGAUUUAACUGAAUCACAUGGAAAGUUACCAGAUUUUCUGAGUGAUUUAUGUGGUAGAAGCAUGGUUCUGUUUGGAUGAAAUUUUUGCUGUCUCACAGAAAAAAGAAAGUAAAAUAUUCAAUAUAUACUCACUAAGUGGUUCCAAGAGCCUUGCCUUGAGAAAAAAAAAAAGACAUUGCCUUUUUAAAGGGUCAGUUUAGAAGUAUCAAAAAAUGGUAUGUUUAUAGUAGCAGUUAUCACAUUGCCAGUACUUUUUCAUCAGCACUGUAAUUAGUAACUUUUCAUGUUAGUACAUCAUUUAAUUGCUUAUAAGUAAGAAAAAGGCGUGUAAGUAUGGUCUUAAUCUAAGCGUUAACACACUGGCUGGAAAUGUGAAGUCCCUUAAAUUUACACAGAAAACCUUAAACACAUGAGAUAGAUUUUAGAAGCCGUGAACCACAUGGAGGUGCUGGGUUCCAGACACAUGCCCUCGCUCCCUCAGAAAUCUAUAGCAUCUCUUGAAAGCCGAAGUUCACUUGCACUUAGAAAAGCGUUAUUUCCAUUCUCAGCCCUACUUUAAAAAGAAACAGCAGAAGUGGGUUCUGCUGGGUUCUGUUCACAUCUCAGCGACCCUGAAAAAGUCCACAGAAAGUAUAUUUCCCAAUCAAAUGUUGAGUUACCAUUGACUGUGAAGACCCCAGAGAGAGCAUGAUAUUUUUCAAUGAUUGCAGCAAGAUACAUCGCUAGAGAAUCCAGAAAAAAUAUACAACCAAAGUCUUGCUUUUCAAAAGCAUCUUCCACCGGAGAGGCAAGAAUUAUUGAAGAAUGUUUCAUUAUAAUAAAGAAAAGAAUGACCUGUUUUUAAAAAGAAUGGAAUUACGGGGAUCCAAACGGAAUUCAAGUAAUCCUGGUUGCAUCCUGCACUCCGGUAUUUUGGAUGCGUUUGGGAAUGCUGUGGGAUCACUUUGGAUCUGCCGCUUCUCUCUGUUUCACCCGACAAGUUUAUAGUCAGCAGUACCCCUCACACUGUGGGAAAAUCAGCAGUGAUUCAAGAAGGAAAUUUGGGGGGUUAUACAGAGUCACUGAUGAAUCUUCUUGGCUUAGAAAUGGGGUUCUUAAAAUAUUAAGUUUAUAGAUAGUUUUCAGAAACUUAUUAGAGUCAAGUAAAAGAAAACAUGCAUACCACAUACACAUUGCAUUUUGCAUUCAGUCCCAGGUCCAGAAUAAUAACAAGCUUCAGGUCUAGAAUGUCAUUAUGGGAAGAUUUCCACUGCCGUGUGCUUUAAAAAUAUCCAUAAGAGGUGAGAGGAAAGAAAUAGGAUUCUGAUCUUGGGCAGUGAUAUAAUUUCUUUUACUAGUGACCAAUUAAUCCCACCCAUCAGAAUAACAGCUCAUCUUUCUUUUAAGUGGUUUAUAAAAAGGGACAACAGACAUGGCACUGCUGAGACCUUUUCAGAACUGGAGGUAGGAUCAGAGUGGCUCAAAACCAGACAAAUCUAAUAUAAUAUACACCGAAUUCAAGUUUUUAAAGCUACUCAAGCCAGGGAAGCCAAGGAGGAAAUGCUGAUUAUUUGGGGGAGAAAUGGAAGAGGGGGGUUAGAAAGGGAAGGCCAGAUGUUCAAUUUUCAACAUCAAUGUUUCUGAAGCCAAGAACAUAUUGCUGAGCCAGGCAUGAUAAAAUGUGCAGCUGACCUGCUAAGGAGAAAAACAACGAUUUCAAAAUAAUAAAGUUAGGCUGUAAAUAUAAUUUUCUUAUCUGGGAUUCUGGUUAUUUAUGCCUCAAAAUGAAUAGCUGCAUAAAGGUCUUUUUGUUUCUCACCGGAACGAGCUCAAAGCCCAGGGAAUGCCUUGACUUCAUGAGAUUAUGAAAAAAGAAAAAAAAGUUGUAUUUUUAUGUGACAGAUUGACAUGGAUUUUAUUCAAUAGACAAUCUGACAUUUCUCAAGGUGCUUAUAAUUACAUCAAAAGAAACAGAAGCCUCCGUCUUCCUGUUGUUUUCUGUCACAGUAUUAUUCUCCUACCAUGAGUUGAUGGAUCUGAAUCGUUUUGCUUUUCAUUUUAGCCAUUUUUCAAAUUUGCUAUUGUUGUUUGUUGCUGUUUUUAGAAAAAAGUGAUUUUACCAACAACAUUGAGUGGCUAUACCUUCUCUUAAUAGUGAGCAAUUUUAUAAGUUUGACUGCUUAAUGAUACGAUCGACAAGUUUGCAGUCUGUUCACUUUUGAUAUGACCUUCCAAUUACCAAGUUGAGUAAAAAUGACUUUUAUAAGGACAUGAAUCCAACGGAAACUUUGCAAGAUUGGAAUCAUUUAAUUUUUGAAAGUGUGUUCCAUCCAAAAGCCUUCUGUGGUUUGUGUACCCCAAGAAUAUUUUUUUUUUAUCCAAGUCAUAUUUGAAUAAAGCAAAGGAUUUCCAAGAAACCCGAUCUUGUGCAGGGGCGAGAGUCCAUUAUCUCCUCUCCUAUCACCCUUCGUAAUGCAGGCUCACAGGAGAUGUGCGCGGAACUCACCUACACAAAGACGAUUUUAUUGCAUUCGCCAAGUCACACAGCAGAAAUUGUCAAUUUUAUGUCAGGUUUUAAAGAUUACAUCCCGAAUAAGUGUAUUUUCUUUCUUAUCAAAAUAUACAGUUUAUGUUUUCUAAUACCAAAGAGAGAGUAGAUUGUUUUUAGUAGAAUUAAUCCUGUUGUUCUUUUUUCCCUCCUCCACUCAAGAUAGACCAAAAAUUUAGGGCUAUUUUCUUAGAAAGAAUGACCUCAAUGUCAACUGUCCUUUCCAGCUAGAAUUCUGGCAACCUCAGUGACUUCGUGUUGUCCCUUUUUGUGGAUUUAAAGAUUUUGUAAUCAGAAGAAAAACUCAACUUUUCAAGACUUGGGCCCAUUUAUUUUUUUUUAGCUUAACCUGUUCUGCGUCUCUACAAGCCGUACUUGGAAACAAGGCCCGUAAAACUGGCCUGCUGGCUUUGAUGAAACAAGCUGCCGUGUUGGAGAGAUACACACGGCGAGCCUCCACGAAAGCAGCCUCCAGCCAGAGAGAAACUGAGGCCUUCGAUCCAACAGCGCCUGAAGAACCCAAUCCUCCUAACAACCACUCAAGGGAACUUGGAGGCUGAUCCUUCUGCGUCGAGCCAUGAGAUGACCAUGGACCCAGCUGACACCUUGACUGCAGCUUGUGAGAUACCCCAAAGCAGAGGACCCUGAUAACUUGUGUGGAUUUCUGGCCCACAGAAACUGAGAUAAUAAAUGUUGUUUUAAGCCAUUAGGUUUAGGGGUAAUUUUCUAUGCAACAACAGUGCAUAACUAAUACACGAAAGCUGCAGGGAUCACGGUUUGAUCUAUAUUAGUUGAUCUAACAAUAGGUGAAUUAUAUAGUAUGUGAAUUAUACCUCAAUAAAGCUUAAAAAUUUAUAUCAGGGCAUUUUUGAAACAACACAAAUAAUAUUAGACAUGCAGACAUCUGUGAAAGGAGUGCUGUAUAAAGUAUGUGAGUUGACUGGAAAUAAUGGAAAGCAGAAUACCUCUGUUUUUGGAUGAGAGGCAUAAGAAUGUGAAAAGCCCAGAGCCCUACACUCUCCCAAAUGGUACCCUAGGCCUAGGACUCUCAUUCGGUCCUAGAUUUGGCCAUAAUACACAUGGAUUAUGUGGCCUGACUGGACUCAUGUUAGCUAAGAUCUACCAUUAGAGCAUGGUGGCCUUUGCCCCAAGUAAAACCCUCAAGCAGGCUAUUUCUCCGGCUAUUUCUCAGGGUGUCUGAAAAAUGCAGCGAUGUCUCCCUGGACUUACAUGAGCAGAUUCUGUGACAGUUUUGGGCCUAUAUGUUAAUAAAUGCUUCUUCAUGAGGCAGAUGUGGUCAGAGACCUGAUUUCAUUGUUACCUAUGAUCUGCUACUGAGGGUAUGAGAGACUUGCAGCUCUCUGUAGAGGCUAAAGCAAUCCACCGACACGAAAUGGACAAUUGCGAAUGAUCAAGUUGACUCAGGCCAUUCUGCAGCAGAGCUGAUGAGACGAGAAGCUGACACAUAAGACAACUGACUGCAUCCCUGGCCAGAAAAGAUUUGAGCCAUGUUACCAAAAUGACAACACGCUCCACACAGCACAGAUGGAAUAGGAAGCCAAGGUCCUGGGCCAGGACACAUGGGACUGUUCAGUGACCACAGCUGAAUUGCACAAAUGGAGACAGUGCUUGCAGACAGACUCCUGCAGCCUUUGAACGCUGAAUCUACCUGCUGUAAGACCACUCUCCCGGGAUUUCUGGUUACGUGAGUGAAUGAAUGCUUUUAUUAUUUUUAAAGAUUGGAAAUACCGUUUAUCGUGGCCAACCAUGUUCUACUGGUACAGAUAGUCCCACCGACACAAGUUAUCUCUAUCACAUGGGUGAAGGCAAUUGAGGUUUGACAAGGUGAUUCAGCUAAUGAGUGACAGUAUCUGGGCUUUUCCCUCCUGUCUGACCCAGAGUAAUCAUCCAAUGCUCCCUAGGGGCCUGGUAAAAAACGCAGAUUCCUCUACUUCACCCCCAUUCCCCAAAGGUUCCAUUCGGGAACUGAGGUGGAGUCCCAGGAAUCUGCAUUCUUUUUUUUUUUUUUUUUGAAGAAGAGAUUGACACACCCCAACCUAGGGGCUAGGCCUCAGCUUCGGAAUGUGACAAUUUAUUCGGGGGGUAAAAGAGGCUUUUCACCCCCCUUUCCUGGCGUUGAUACAAUAUUGAAGAGCAGCAGAAGAAACGGACAAGACAGAGUAAUCGGCACAGACCCACCCCUCCCCCGGAACCACCAAAUCCAGAAUGGAGCCCAAACCCACACCCCCAAUUAGGCAUCUUCUCCAUUGCGGGAGGGGCAGGGCGGACUGGGGGGCCUGCCCCCCAUGCCGGGGCAGCACCUCCAUUUCCCGUCCCCUGCCAACCCCACUAUUUUCCCAUCUUUGACCGCUGGAGGCAAAGUUUAGCCAGCUGGGAGCUGGAUGGUUGAACCACAGACAAAGGCAACAACACUUCAUUUUAAAAAUGAGAAAAAAGAGACAGUGCUCCUCCCCAAAUAUAGAGCUAUAUAUGUAUAUUAUAUAUAUAUAGAAUUCAUUCGUGCACAAUUCAUUAAAUGAGCUUCUCAAAAAUUAAAAAAAAAUUAUAAGAUACGUAUUUCUUUAGGCCUUUGUGUUUUUAAAUUAAAACCAAUGAAAAGAAGUCUCCCUCUCCAACCAGCAGCAAGGGCAGCCUCUGCUACCUGGCCUCCAGCAAGUGGGUUCCCCCAUGAGACCGUCAGUUCCCCUUUGCCUGGCUGACUUCCUGCAUACAGUAGGCACUCACUGCUGGAGUGAGGCACUGACUCCUCCAAAGAUCGCAGUACUUUCAGGGAUCAUUUCUAUAGUUUGUUACUAGAGGAAUCCGCAUUCUAAGCGAGCAACAAAGGUUGUUUUGAUGCAAGGUCUUCAUGAAUCCCUUUUGAAGAAUCACUGCCCCAUGUCAUCCAACCUCUUAAUCAAGCUCAUUUCUUUCCAAAGCCUAGUCUUUCUCCCAGCACUGUGGGCUGACAUCACCAUAGCAUCCACACAUCCACUCCUAUCCCUCAUCCCAGUGCCAGAGUAAAGGCAGACACAGGUCUGCCUCGGUAUAAAAGCAGAAGGUCCUAGUUCUCUGGGAUCUGAGGCUAAAAAGUACGAACAACCAGGAAGGGUUGGAGAGCGGGGCCGCUGUCUCCUCUUCCCUCCUCGUGGGUAGUAUUUGUCAAAAUGUACAUCCUGGGUGGUCACAGGUUGACACAACCAGCUUUACUUAUUCAAGCAACCAGCCGGCUCAUUACUUGGGUGUCAGCUCCCUGGAAAACUGAAGUGAAAUGGUCAUGAGUCUCUGUUUGUGGGAAUAGGGAAGGAGUGGGAAAAAUAACCCACAUUCAUUUUUAUUUCAAAAGAAACCCACAUGGUCCACUGUCAUUCAGCUCUUUGUCUUUGCCUGAGAGACACAGAAUCCAAAUGUAAUAUUGUAGGAAGCUGUGAAACCAAAGUUUUGCAUUUUUCUUAAGAAUUUCAUUUUUAAUAAUAAAAAAUCACUAAGCCCAUGUGUCCCAUAAAAAUAAAUGAACGUUUUCACUCAUGAACCAAUAAAGCAGAUGAAAGCUGGAAGCCACAUCAUACUUUCUGUGAAGCUCAUCCAGGCCGUGCAAGGCCUUGGAGAAGAAUUCAUUUUAUGUUUUGCAGAUGGGGGAAACUGAGGAAACACCAGGUCCAUGCCCAUGGGUGUGGCUGUCAGAAAGUAACCUGCCAGCUGCUCUGAUUUGGAAGAGCAGCUCUUUGGAGGGUUGGAGGAAAGCCCAGAUCCUGUGGCAUGGCAUGUUCCGGCAGAGCCGGGGUGUCCAGCUGAGUUUCCGGGUGGCCCCUUCUUGCCCCCAAGGACCUGUGGUUCUUCAGAGGCUCAUGUUGCGUCAUGCCUUGUCCCUGCUGCCCCUUCUUGUAGAAAUAGUCUGCUGCUGUUUUCCACAUAGCACAGACCCACUUGUCUCUCACUCAUGACCAGAAGCUGUGGGUCCUCCCACAUGGCUGCAUUCUCUGGCCCCGCCACAGCACUUUAACACCCAAUGACAUUUUCGGCCAUCACACCACCCCUCACCAAACACACAGGGAGCCUCUUCAAGGCUGGAUCCUGCUUAAGUUACCCUGAAUUUCCCAAGAUGGGUCACAUGGCCGGGCACAUCAUACGUGCUCAUUACGUGCUUGUUGAAGGGAUAGGUGGAUAAAGCCAUGCAGGCAUGGGUCAAUGUAAGAAAAAGGAUGACACCUUCGACCUCUUGUUCUCUAAAAGAAGUUGGAGGAAGAAACAAGAGGGAGGAGGCACAUUCAAGUUUCUGGGCAGCCUUUUCCCGGGAGCUGUGUCUCCUCACUGGGUCUCAGGAAUGUAAACGCCGGAACUAUACUUCAGAUUCCUUUCACCAAUAAAUCUCCAAUUAAAAAAAAAAGGAAGGUGGAAAGUUGACAGUCAUGGGAAGGGAGUGAUUUCUGCUGGGCUGCCAGGGAACAUGUUUAACACGUUUGCGGCUGUGAUGAGUAUUUGGGCAAAGACCCCACGCAGAAGGCUAGGAUCGCUUAAGGCCUACCCGAUUCAGAAGGAGAAUUUUUGAAAGCUUUUCCUUCCUUGCGAGAAGGACUCACACCCCAGCCGCUGCCCCCACCACUGCCGGUUUAGUCCUGAGUGAGAAAGCCCCAGGCUUUGACACUAGCACCUCGCUUGCUCCUUCUCCACAAAGGCUGGAAAUUGAGUCCCUGUCCCACAGUAAGGGGGAUGUUCCUUCCAGCACGUGGGUGUCAGCUUCCCCACCAGGGGGCUGGAGCCAGCCCGGGGCUGACAUAUUUAUCCCAGCCCCCAGGCAAGGCAGCCAACGGUGACUGACACGGGGCUGCCCCCUGCCUAACCUAAGCUGUCUUGCUGGCUUUCUUCUCAAGGAUCAGGUGGACCACACAAUCUCCAAGCAACCUCCCCUCAUAAAAGGCUGAGAGAGUUGAAUUUUCAUGGUGAGAGACUGGGAAAUUGGGAAUGAUUAUUGAUGGGAGAGGUUUACGAGCUGGAGCUGGGGAGAAAGUUCUGAAUCUUUAGGAGAAUGAACUUUGCUCAUUUCAGGGAAGCGCAUGAUGUAUGAAGGGAAGCAGUGUUGAAACAAGACAAGGCAGGGAAUUGGCCAUCGCCAGAGCCUGGUGCGGGAGCACUGCUCUAUGUGAAUAAUCUCAUUUAUCUACCCCGCUCCCGAAAGACUCGAAUACUGUCUUCUGUACACAUAUAACAACACUGACACUAAGAGGGGCAAAGAAACAGCCUGAGGGGCCACAGUUAUUAGGUUGGUGCAAAAGUAAUCACUGUUUUUGCCUUUAAAAGUACUGAAAAAAAUUGCUUUUGCAUCGACCUAGUAGACGUAUGAGCCAGGGUGUGACUAUGAUCUGUUUACACCAAGACUGUGGACAAAGUGUAAGGAGUGGGAAGAUAGUUUAAAAAAUGAGAUAAAGAAAGGCCGGGCGCUGUGGCUCACACCUGUAAUCCCAGCACUGUGGGAGGCUGAGGUGGGCGGAUCACCUGAGGUCAGGAGUUCGAGACCAGCCUGGUCAACAUGGUGAAACCCCGUCUCUACUAAAGAUACAAAAAAUGAGCUGGGCAUGGUGGCGCGUGCCUGUAAUCCCAGCUACUCAGGAGGCUGAGGCAGGAGAAUUGCCUGAAUCCAGGAGGUAGAGGUUGUGGUGAGCCAAGAUCACGCCAUUGCACUCCAGCCUGGGUAACAAGCGCGAAACUCCGUCUCAAAAAAAAAAAAAAGAGAUAAAAUAAAGUGGUAAAGUGGUGCUGGAGCAGUUUCCAAUCAGGUCAGCUUACAUCUCCUAAGUGGCUUUUCUCUGCCAGGCAUCAUCCCAUUUAGUCCUUAUAAAACUGAGAUUCAAAGAGCUCGCUCUACUUGUCCACAGUCAGAGGUUACCAUUCGUGGAGUCGAGACUUACACUCCGCAGCAGGAAUUCUAACCACUGUGGUAAGGCAGGGAGGAACGCACCUCUGCUGCGGCAAACAGGAGCGAGGGAGAAAGAGAACGGGACUGUAGACUCAAAUGAACCAUGAGUAAAAUAAUGCACUUUUAAAGGCACCAAGUCAGGUGGGGCAGAAUCCACAGGGUUUCAGAGAAUGAGUGAGGGGAGGAGAGCAAAAGGAGCCCGGGUACCUGCUGCCGUUCCCGGCACCUUCCCACUCUCUCCCAGACCUCAGGGUAAGUGCAACUCCCAAAUGCCAGGAUAUUUUAAGCUUUGCUGUGGUGGUUUCAAACAUGAACACAAGUUAUUUGAUACUUGUCUCAGUGAGAGGGGGUUUAAUGUAACCCUCCCCUUGAGUCGAAGUGGGCUUGAGACCUGCUUAUUUAUAGGCAAGAAAAUGCAGCAGAAGUGACGGCAAGGUUUCUCAGGCUGGGUCAGAAAAGUCACUGCAGCUCCAUGUGAGAAAUCUGACUACUACGGGGUUGCUAUACCCUGAGGAAGCCCAAGUCACGUGGAGAGGCCGUGCAUUGGCCAGCAGUCCCAAGUGAGGUCCCAACCAACAGCAACCAUACACCACUCGAGUGAAGGACAGAGUGAAGGAUUUUCCAGCUGAUGCCAGUCCACAGCUGUCAGGCCACAUCACCACCCUCAGCCCUGCCUUUGUAUCUCCUCAGUCCAGGUCCCAGACAUCAGGGAGUAAAGACAACUGUGCCACUGUGCCCGCUCAGGAUUCUGGCACAUGGAACCCAUGAACAUAGCAGAUUGGUAGCUUGAUGCCACUAGGUUCGGGGAGGCAGCAGUCGUCAUCAGAACAGCAUCUCACUUCAUUUAUUUCUGGGGGGAGCUAUAUUCUCUUCCUUGUCCCCCAAGGUGGGAAACACAAGCUCUGACUUUUCAAUGAACUGUGGCGGAUACACGUGGUGACAGUCCUCCACGGGCCACGACGGCUGAUCCCAGAGGUAUUCUGUGAUGAGGACACUCUCAGUCUGGCUGAAAUGAGCCAGCUGCUUUACAACUGUCCCCCCCAACUGGGUUCCCAGGUCUCACUCCCAGCCCCUUUGCCCAUCCUUCACUUCCAGCUGACAGUUCCUCACCCCUCCCCUGCAUUUCUCACUGGGAUGGCAGAUGCAUCUCUAAGGUCCAUUCCGCCCCCAGGGCGAAAGCUUCCAGUCAACUCUAGAGCCAUUUGAGUCAUUCACGGUAGGUCAGGUCUCCAUUCACCACGGCCCCUGGAAGCAGUUCCUGGCUCCCGGAGUCUGGCCCUUUGUGUAUGAAUCCACGGCAGUAUCGAUCUGGCUCAGGUUCCAUCCUACUGGCACAAUUCCGUGGUUGUUAAAAUUCUUCAACGAGCUAGGUGAGCUCAUUUCUCCUAAGUUGGUGCCUGGUAGGAAAUCUUUCAUUUUCCCAGCACAAAGUUCAUUAUGGUGCCCCAGUGCUAGCUCAUUACUAGCAACCCUUUUAGCUGCUAAACAGAGGAGAAAUUUCAGAGUCCAAAUCAGGCUUUUCUUGCUCUCUUUUAUCUUCUUCUUUUCUGAGUUGAUGCUGAAAACUAGCAUCUUCCCUGCAUGAUGUGCCAAUAAGGUUUUGGGUCUACAUAGAUUAAUAUCUUUCUACUAAUAGCUCUCACCGAGUUACAUAAACUCUCUGAGCCCCAGUUUCCUUAUCUGCAAUAUGCGGAUGAUAAUUCUUUACCCAGGGUUAUUGUGAAGACGCACUGAGGUAACAUUGAUAGCCGAGCCUGUGGGAAGUCAGGCUAACUGAAGGACGAGGUCAAAGAUCUUAUUAUUUUUGCUGUGGUUGCUCUUGUUUGUACUUGUCUUUCAGCAAAUUUGAUGGCUCUACCUUCCAGAUAAACCCCAAAUCUAGCCAUUUCGGAAGCACCUCCCCAGCCAGUCACCUGGUACUCUUCUGCCUGGUCUCCUGAUUUCAUCCUAGCUGCCUUGUUACCUCGGCAGGCAGCCGCCAGAAUAGUCUUGUUAAAUCUUGCCAGGUCAUCAAUCCCAGGCUCCGAGCCCUUCAAUCACUUCCCUUCUAAGAGUUUUUAUAAACUCUCAUUACAAAACUUGGCUUACUAGUUUUUAACUGUGGCCUACGAGUCUGUGCAAGAUGGGGCUCUCAGUACAUGCAUACCUUCAGCGUUUUCUCCUCUUUCUUCUUCUCUCUCCCUUUUCGCUCUUCCUCAAAUAGCACACACCUGCCUUAGAACCUCUGCACUGUCUGUCUCUCAGCCAGAGAGUGUACAACACGUGCCUUUACUUCCUUCCAGGCUUGGCUCUAAUGCCAUCUUCUCAUUGAGUUCUUCCCCGAUCCUCCUAUUUAAAAUCGUUUCCACUGCCUCUUCUCUGCUCUGUUUUUCUGCAGAUGAUCACUUUAUUUAUAAGGCUUAACUGAUUGUGUAUUUCUCCCAAGUAGAAUAUAAGCCCCAUUAGAGCAAGGUUCGUUGUCUCUUUUGUUUAUUUUUGUGUUUUCAGCACCUAAAAUGGUGCCUGGCAUAUAGUAGAGCCUCAAGUAUAAGGGAAUUGACCUCAGAACAUAGAAACAACUAUCUUAGCUGCCUGCUAGUGUUUUAUCUUUCUGGGGGGAAGGGGAGGGAGAUAACAUCUCACUUCCACUGCCCAGGCUGGAGUGCAGUGGUGCAAUCACAGCUCACUGUAGCCUCAACUUCCCGGGCUCAGGUGAUUCUCCUGCCGCGGCCUCCUGAGUAGUUGGGACUACAGGCGUGCACAACCAUGCCUGGUUAAUUUUUUGGAUUUUCAGUAGAGAUGGGGAUUUAGCCAUAUAGUCCAGGCUUAGAAACUCCUAACCUCGAGCAAUCUGUCCCCCUUGGCCUCCUGAAGUGCUGGGAUCUAGGCAUGAGCCAGGGUUCCCGGCCCUGCUAAUAUUUUAUCUUAAUGCAAAUAACUCCAGUACAAUCACCGCAUCAUCAACUGUUUUGUCUGCCAACAUUGCCACUGUGCUACCCUUUUCUAGUUUGAGAACAUGCUAGUAAUAAAUGCCUUGAGUAAAAAUCCAGCUGAGGCCGGGCGCAGUGGCUCAAGACUGUAAUCCCAGCACUUUGGGAGGCAGAGGUGGGUGGAGCAUGAGGUCAAGAGAUCGAGACCAUCCUGGUCAACAUGGUGAAACCCCGUCUCUACUAAAAAUACAAAAACUUAGCUGGGCAUGGUGACGCGUGCCUGUAAUCCCAGCUACUCAGGAGGCUGAGGCAGGAGAAUUGCCUGAACCCGGGAGGUGGAGGUUGCAGUGAGCGGAGAUCGCUCCAUUGCACUCCAGCCUGGGUAACAAGAGCGAAACUCUGUCUCAAAAAAAAAAAAAAAAAAAAAAAAUCCAGCUGAAGUGGAAGGAUGCAGGAAUAACAAGGCCUGGGUCUUCUACUUGGUGGUUUAGAAGUUCCCCAAGAACCGAGGGGAGACCCUCAUUUUCAGGACUGGCUAUAUCAUUUGCAGGGCCUGGUGCAAAAAGAAAAUGUGGUGGUGGCUCCUUGUUCAAAGUUAUUGAGAAAAUCAACGCAGCAGUGGUAAACCAAGGUGGGGGCCCUGUGACUGCACAGAUCACACCACCAAAGCACUGGUCCCGCUCAUUUCCUGCAACUGUGCGUGCACACACACACACAUGCACACACACGCACACACAUACAUGCACACACACACGCACACACACAUGCACACACACAUGUGUGCACGCACACGCACACUUGCAUCCAAUAAAAGCACAUCUUGGCAGAUUUGCUUAUUUAAUGAACUUUAUCCACGUUAUCUCUUUACAUUGCCAUCGGGCUGGAAAAGUUAAGCGUGUUCCCCGUGUCCGAAGCCCACCAGUAUUCAGGCUUCAAAAUAACCCAUUUUUGUUUGGAGUGGGAUUGUGAGACAACUUCAGUUUAGGUGCAGAAAGAUCACAGUUAUCUGAAUUAUUGUCCCUAACCCUUGGGACAAGACGUCACAGUCUUACUGUGCAGACAGACGGUCUAAGUGCUGAGGCCAGAAACAUUCGAGGAGAGGAGCAGAGGGAAGCAGGAGUGCCUGCUGCAUAUCCGGUCCGCUGACUGUUACCCAUGGUCUCACCAUCAGCAUCAGCAGCCAUCUUUGGAGGAGGAGGCUGAGGCAUGGCCCAGGAUGGAGGCAGAGCCUGGGGAUCAGAUGCCAUCAGGUAAUCUAGUUAAUGAUGGUGAUACCUGCUGGACCACAUUAAGAAAUUACUGCGGAGGCAACUCCCUUCCGUGGGAUUUAUUUUCUUUGUCUUUCAAAGAAAGACCGGACUGUUCAGAGGUUAUUUUUGAAUAUUAACCAGACUUCAAACAUCCUCUUGCGUUUUGAAUUUUUUGGGAGUUAGGCAUUAUAAAAAACAUAAGCCACUGGGCCCCUUUAUUUACAUUUUCCUGAAAAACAAAGAGAAGCCUUUUGCGUAUUUUCAUAACAGGUCUGUCUCAACAUCUUAAAUUAAAAAAUGACCUGUUCUGUGGCUCUGAAUACGGUUUGGAUGAUUAAGUCUGCUUCUAGGCUCUCCCAUGAAUAUUUUUAAAAAUGUAAUUGCAAAAAUCACAGUUGAGUGUAAGAAAUAUGUAACAGAAACACAUUAUUUAAACCCCAAGGUUUCCAGAUUUUUAGGAAAUUCCGAAGACGAGAUGAUUUGGCCACCGAAGUUUUAAAAGUAUUAAAUGAGAAUGUUGAAACAUUAGCUCAACGUUUCAAUGGCAAUUUAUCACAGAGCAAACGGACUCCAGCCCAUGGAGAUCGUUCUUGCAAAGUUCAAAGUCUUUUUGUAAAGAUAACUAAAAUAAACCUCGUACAUUAUGUAAAAAAAUAUCUACACUGAAAUCUUUUUUUUUUUUUUUGAGAUGGAGUCUUGCUCUGUCGCCGGGCUGGAGGGCGGUGGUGCGAUCUCAGCUCAGCACAGCCUCUGCCCGCUGGGUUCAAGCGAUUCUUUUGCCUCAACCUUCCGAGUAGCUGGGUUUACUGUCGCGCGCCACCACACCCGGCUAAUUUUUGUAUUUUUAGCAGGGACAGGGUUUCACCAUGUUGGCCAGGAUGGUCUCCACCUCUUGACCUCGUGAUCUGCCCGCCUCGGCCUCCUAAAGUGCUGGGAUUCCAGGCGUGAGCCACCGCGUCCGGCCUACACUUAAAUCUUAAAGUGAGUUGUUUUUGGUAGGUCAGAAUUAACUCACUUGUAUGAGAAGACACGUGACCAUCGAUAGUUACGAGAGUAAACUUUUCUUUCCUUUCAUUUUUGUCUUUGUUACAGGCUGUUAACCUUUCAAGGUGGCUUCACUUGUGGUGAUUGCUUAAAUGUGCUCAAUAGACUGUGGGCAUCAGUUUAACAGGAAGAAAAAUGUCACAGAGUACUAGAGCCUGGGAUUGACCUGAGAAUUCUGUACUCAGCUAAGCACGCUUGGUUUCUCGGGUCCUCACAAAAGGAGAACCAGCUUUCGUUACGGCCGUUCUCUUUCUACCACUGCCUGGGGAAGAAGAAAACUUGCUCCGGGAGUCGGAAACUGGGACAGGAAUUGCCUCGUUUCUGUACAACCUUAACAAAAUUGCUGCGUUUUUUUAGGGAAGACCAGCCAAGCGCAGGAAUUGCUUUCCCUGAAGAAAAAUCCACAAGAGGAGCUAAGUUAUCUGUGGUUAAGGAAUCAGGCUGAGUGACCUCAAUAGCCCCUAGCCCGGUUUGUCUAUCUCUGCCAGGUGAGCUCUCCCUGCAGCCCAGAGCAUGGGGCCAGCUUUUGGCCUGGCCCAGGCUGCAAUUCUCCUUUUUCAAAAUUCUAGGAUCUACCAAGACCCUGCUCCUCUUCUCAUCUUCAUAUUCUUUGUUUAAACAUGUUAAUGUUCUCUCCUCAGGUCUCCGCCUCUCAGUCGUCUUGAGAGGAUUGUACAUCUCUGCUUAGAUUAUGCAGGGCCCCUAUGGAGUUGAAGGCUCAGAGGGUCACCUGGUUGCCCUGUUUCCAAGUUCAGAUGAGGGCUGCAGGCAGAGGGUCCCACUUUGGCACCUGAGACAUGUCUGACAGGGGUUUUAAAGCCUACAUUCUUGAAUUGUGUUAAAUUCAGGUCUAGACCCCAAAAUAAUCAUGUUGCCAUACUAAAACCUAUUGGAUUGAAUCAUUGGAAAUUGAUAAUAUUCAACUUUUUUUUACACAUAUGGUAGAUUCAUAUGACUCUACCUAAUACUGCAAAAUGUUUUGACACAUCGAUGUAGAAAUAUUGAAAGACCUUUGUUUUAUAAUAUUUUUAUUAUAUGUUUCAUGUCCCCUAACACUUUUCCCUGUACCCCACAUACCUGUACUAAGACUAUACAUCCUCACACACAAACACACACACACACAACUUAUUCUUCUGCGACCUUAUAGAGUUAAGAAGUCAGAUGGCAACAAGGUGACACGUUUGCGUGAAUGCAAGGCUCAGGAAGUUCUACUCACAACACUCUGGUCCUUUGUUCAGGGUAUCCACCCCUCCUCAGCGCCACACUCCCACUUCUGAGGGCUGCCAGAAAUCAUGUUAUUAGCUCCAAAGCCACAAAGGCAGCAUCAUACAACAGGCUUGGUGGCAGGCUGCCCGCUUAUGGAACAAGCCCCAACUUUGAGUCAUGGAGAUCUGGCCUCUGCAUUUGAUUUGAUUAUUUCUUGGUGGGUGAUCUUGGGCAAGUUACUUGGCCACAGUGUAUUUCAGUGUUUUUAUAUGUAAGGUAGGGAUGGAUAAGAAUGUCUACUUUAUAGAGUGAGGGGCCAAAUGAGAUAAUGUAUGUGAAGUGCCUACAAGGGUGCCUUGGGUGCUCCAAACUAAUGUGAGAGCAAGAAAAUGGAAUUUCCUAAUUCCUGGACCUUCUACCUCUAUAUCUACCCAUAUCCCACGUGGCUGCUUCACUCGGAGAGACAUGUGGCCUGGGACAGUGGGUGCCUUCGUGGUAGGCAGUUAGGUGAGUGAGUCAUUGCUGGCAGGGCCUCUGUUGCUUUGGGAAUGGGAACUUGCAGCUCAAGAGGCACAGAAGUAGUGCUGUGGCAUUGGUGACAUUUGGACUGUUCCAUCAGGGUAGUUAAAAUUUAGACGUCUCCUAGAGGCCAGCACAGUCUCGCUACAUUUUCUGCCAUGAUGGAAACAUGCAAAAAUCUUCACUAUCCAAAAUGCAGCUACUGAGCACUUAAAAUGCGACUAGUGUGGUGGGGGAGAGAAUUUAAAAUUUGAUUUUAAUGUAUGCGUUCACGUGUGGCUAUUGGUUACAGCUUCGGCCAUCUCAAGACUAGGCAGAGGAACAGCAAAAGGGAAUCAUAAGAGCACAAAGUCCUGGGGCAGACAUGGGGCAGCUGCAGGUGAUUUAGCUUGGCUGAAGCAUACGCUGGGGAAGGCGAUGGGAGAGAGAGGUGAGGCCAAUUCUAUCAGCUUAAAGAGUUUAAAUGCUCUUUUCUGGGCAAUAGGAGUCACAGAGGGUUUGUGAGCAAGGGAGUUACACCACGUGCUUUACUUCAGAGUGGUUAAUCUAACAGGAGGCAGGAGAAUGGAGUUUCUCUGAUGGGACCACAUACAAGCUGCAAAGGGAAACACUUAGAAGUCUUACUGCAAAAACCAGGUGGAGCUCUCACUGUGUGUUGGGCAUCGCGCAAAGAGCUCCACCUGGUUUACUGUUGGUUAUGCCCUAAAGUAAGCACAAAAAUAAAAAUCUGAAUCGAAUCUGUUAGAUUGACGCAGCCCAUAAAAAUGUGUUUACCUUCGCUAUACCUGUUUUAGGAUCUCCUGGGGGGAAGAGAGGAAAGCCAGCUUCCUCCGGCACUGAAUGAGGUAGAUGACAGAGCUGACACCUAGAUCAGGCCUUGAUGUUAAUCUGAACGGAUGCGGCUUUUCUCGUGGCUUGAUAGGACGCUUUUCUCUUUCUACCUGCAUUUCUGAAUGAGACCCCUACUUUGUUUGCAGACCCAAAGCCUUCGACCUUUUUGCUGCCUUGAUGAAAGCCCACAUGACUCCACUGCAGAGCUCAUUAGCUUGAUUAUCCGUGGGCCGGUAGAGUUGUUGUCUGCAUUUGAGGAACUCUCCAGAAAGGUAGAGAUGUAUUUUUUCUUCGAGAUCUCUUCAAUUUACAGGCAAUUAUAUGAUGGCUUCCUGUCCCCGAUCUUCUUUUAUAAUCUUCCCUUGAGAGGCACUUCAAGAAUCAGGUUGCCUGGGCUGGAACCCUGGCUUACUGUUCGGGUUUGGGCAAGUUACUGACAUACUACCUGCUCAUGGCCUGGUUUUAAAGACUUAGUGAGUUAAGGGACCCAGAGUGCUUAGAACUGUGCAAUAUAGGUUUCUAAUGAUUGUGGCCAGCAAUUAUUUGUGUACCUGCCUUGACCUGCCAGUCUGCAGUGGGGUAGGGUAGGAGUACUCUGGGGUGGGAAGAAGGAGCAGCUGUCAAAAGACCAUUCUGCAAUACUUGGGUGUGAAUCUAAAGAAAUCGGUGGCCCAGGACUGCGGCUCAAGCUUGUAAUGCCAGCGCCGUGGGAGGCUGAGGUGGGAGGAUGACUUGAGCCCAGGAGCUCCAGGCUGCAGUGAGCUAAGAUUGCCCCACUGCACUCCAGUUCGGGAGACAGCUAAAAAUGCUAAAAAAAAUGCAGAGAAAUUAAGCUAGAAGGGAAGGGGAGAGGCUAUCCUUCCUGGAAUUGGAAAGCACAGUUUCUAUCUGCGUGGGAGCAAAAUGUGCACUUUCAGGCAGAUGACCCGGGCUUAACCACGCUCAGGGGCGCAGCCCGAGUUGCUUAGGGCUGUGCUUGGCGGUCCCAGUGCUGCCACCUACAGGCUCUGCGAGGCAGAGCGCGCCGCCCUCGUGUCUCCCGGGAGUCUGGGUGCUGCUGGGCAGGAGCAGAACUCAGAGGCUCCUCACCAGCCAUGCCGCUAGCUCCUUUCUCUCACGGGCUUUGAAUGCAUCUGCCCCUAGACACGGCAGUUCUGGAACACAUUUCUAAGCAUUAUUUCUAAAAGGAAGGAAUAAAGAAAGAAAAUAAGACAAAGCUCCACAGCCAGAAGAGAAAGUGCACAUUGACAUGUCACCACGUGCUGGGUGGUGAGUUAAGGUCUGGCAUAUGUUAUUACAUUUAGUCCGCAUAAUAGAUAUCUUCAAUAUUGUCAUCCACGCUGCGGGGGAGGUUGAAGAAUCCAGUACACAAUCGUUUAGAGCCUGGGCCACUCAAAUUCUGAGGCCUGUGUGUGUCAGCCCUGACUUAAAUUAUUUUUCUAUCUUUCCUAAGUAUAAAAGCACACAUACUUGAGUUGACUAAAUAUGAUCUUUGCACCCGGUAAAUGCCACUUACAUUGACCUGCUGCUUUAAAAGCUGAGACACUUCUAACGAAGAUGUUUUAGCAGAAAUAUUCACACACAUAAGUGAGUCAGCUUCUUCUAUGCCAGGGCCUACAUCUUUGUCCAUUACUAUAUUAUUUUUUAUUUAUUCAAGCCUACGCAUAAAUUAGUGUUGGAGAUCAAAAUGCCAAACAAGGUGCCCUUUCUGGCUUUUACUAACUCAGACUCCCUAGUAACUGAUCGACAUCUGGGCACGCUUGUACUACGAAUUGACAUCGGGUGGUAGUGGCAGUGCUUCUCAAGCUUUAAAGUACACACCAAUAGCCCAGGAAUCCGGGUUAACAUGUAGAUUUGGAUUCAGCCAGUCUGAAAUGAGGUCUGACGUUCUGCAGUCUCCCCAGGGAUGUAGACGCCGCUGCUGCUUCAGGAACCACACUUUGAGUUUCAAGGAGCUGGAAGAUCUUAAAGAUUUUUUGAAUCUUCAAAACAAAUUGUAAUUGCUUUGCAUAUUAACUAACUAUGCAAGCAAUUAAAUUAGAAAGUAUUAUUCACUCUAUUUUAUUGUUUUCUAAUCUUUGAAAAUCAGUAAACUAUAUAUUCCACCUGCAUAUGUUCAUUGGAACACUAUUCUUGAUAGCAAAGAGGGGGAAUCAACCGAAAAGUCCAUCAAUGAUAGACUAGAUAAAGAAAAUGUGGCAUGUAUACACCAGGGAAUACUGUGCAGCCAUAAACAAGAAUGGGAUCAUGUCCUUGGUAAGGACCUGAAUGGAGCUGGAGGCCAUUAUCCUUAGCAUAGUAACAGAGGGACAGAAAAGCAAAUACCACAUGUUUUCACUUGUAAGUGGGAGCUAAAUGAUGAGAACACAUGGACGACUAGAUGGGAACAACACACAAUGGGGCCUAUUGGAGGUUGGAGGGUGGGAGGAGGGAGAGGAUCAGGAAAAAUAACUAAUGGGCACCAGGCUUAAUACCUGGGUGACAGAAUAAUCUGUACAGCAACCCGCAUGACAUAAGUUCACCUAUGGAACAAACCUGCACAUGUACCCUUGAACUUAAAAUAAAUGUUAAAAUAAAACAACCUUUUUUUUUUUUUUUUUUUUUUAAAAAAAACCUAUUAGGACAUUAAAGCUACCAGAAUAUUAUAUUCGUUCAGUUAGGUUGGAUUACCAAGUGUUUUCUUUAGAAACUCUGUGACCUGAAGGAAUUUUGCCUUUAAUCAAAGGGUAAUUUAGUCACCAUGAGAAUUACUUUCCAAACUAAAAGGGAAAGUAAUGGCUACAUUAACAAGAAGUUGUCGAAAUUUAACUUUCCACUUUUUCAGGUUUUUCAAGCCCACUCUUUUCCCCCUGAGGGAACUAACUGCACGGAAGAAUAGAGGAGGAGACCCUACCGCCCCUUUUAAAACCAAGACUGGCAAUCCCAUAUCACCCAGAGCAUGGGGGCUUAUUAAUACUUACACUCCUCAGUCUCCAGAUGUUCAGUCAUCCGUCUCCAGAUGUUCAAGGGCAAAAAGUAACACAUUCACAGAUGAUACAGAAUAAACACUUACUAUGAUGCCCAAAGAACCAUAGCUAUGGGCAGCAGUGAGGAGUAAAGUAACCCACAAAUAGGCUGCUACUUACUUGUUCCUUUGUCUGGGGCUCAUUUAAUUGCAUCUGUUUGCAUGACAGUAGCUGAUGCCCAGCCAUUGUUUCCAUCAUAAACCUCACUGGGGAUGAGAAAUGCAAUAAAACGAGAUCCUUCCUUGAAAUUGUUUUUUUCCUCCACCAAAUAAAACAUUCAGCAAAGGUGUUGGGUUCUCCCCAACUCCUUUCUAUUUACACACAUAAAAUAUAUACAUUUAAGUGGUUAAAGGACAUUUUAUAAACAUAAACGGCUGCCCCGUCAUUUCAGAGAAUAUAAUGUCUCAAAGAAGUGGAAUCUGUGGAACUUCAAUGUGAACAAAAUAGAAGUAUGGCAGUGGGGAUAAAGUGCCUGCAUGCAUGCACUAGUUUUCAAUAAGUGUGAAUUCAAUUCAUUGAACGGAAUGGCCUUAGGAUUAUGACUAUGUCUGCCUAGCAAAGACCGGCAUGGCCUGUGAAGAUAAGGGCAGGCUCCAGCAUGGAGGAGGAGGCUGCUGACAUCUAUGCUGUGUGAUCUCAGAGGUCCAGCAAGGCCAGCCUUUCCUGCUCUCUUUCUUCCUCUGAAGUUCCCGUUCGUGCCUGAAAAAUGUCUACAUAUUUUCACCUUUAGGUGAAGGCAUUGCUUAAAACAGGUGCUACAGUACCUAGAUGUUGGCUGUAUGAUUUGCAAUAUUUUUAUUGUCAAUAAUAUCAACGCUGAGCAACACUUAGAGUCACCCAUGUGGCAGACUUCAGGCAGAGAGGAAAAGGUACUUUCUCUUCAAUUCAAAUUUUGAAAAGCCAGGGGGAGAGCUGAGGUCACAUUCCACAUCCUGGAACAAUAAAUGUGGUCAGAGAGAUGAGAGGCUGUGAUUGGCCCAGGAUGGACUAUGACGUCUGUGUUUGCUGGACGUGUGCUUGGAAAUGGGGAAUAUAGUGAUUGGCAGAGCUCACUAAAAUUUUGAGGAAUAUUUCCCGAAGAAGGUGUUUGUUCUUCUGGAAAAAAAUUUAUCUACACCACAGCUUUGGGCAAGUCCUUAAUUUAUUUGAACUUCAGUAGGAUUGUGUGUAAAUAAAGAAGUUGGAUUAGAUGCUUUUUGAGGGUUCUUUAAUAUCUGAAAAUCUCUAGUUUUGUUUCCUUCUAAAAUAUAGCAAUGUAUAAAAUAAUUUCAUAUUCAUCCCUGAGAAGCAAACAGAGGUGAUACUAUUUCAUCCUAGAAUACGGGAAAAAUUGAGGCUCACAAAGUUAAUUAGCUGACCUCAAAUCGUUAGAACAUCAAGUGGCAGAAGUAGGACUAGAUAUUAAGUCACUGGAUUAGUUCCAGAGAAUUCCCUUUGAAUGCUUCCCACAUUAGUGAAAUUAGUUUUGUUCAUUCCUUAAUGACCGUUCACUAAUCCAACUGGUGGUAAGCUGCUAUAAAGUAAGCCAGGGUCGAUGAGAUUGUUUUGAUAAGUUAAAUAUUGGGCGUUUGAAUUUAUCAUUUUGCUGCCUUCUGAGGUAUUCUGUAGUUGUCCAUUAAUGUGAUGUUUUUCUAAUGGGAGAUACUUAAAGCAUGGCUCAGGGAAGGAAGAGCUACUCAGAAUUCACUCUGAAGGAGACUGCUUUUAGGAAAAGAUUGAGGUAAAGUACGGGAGGAACUGAUGAUGACCUUCCAGCUCCCAGACACUUGAUAUUAAACCACAAAGCUGUUAGUGGUCAAAUAAGUCACUGUUGUUUGUUUUAGAAUUUCUCUGAAUAAAUAUUUAUAAUACACAAUCAAUGAAACCUAGAAAAGUCAAUGGGAUGUGUUUUAUUUUUAAUAAGACUUACUUUAAUUGUAUAUUCUUUUAUCUACAAACAUCUAUUAAGAUAACUAAAAACAGCUUAGAGGUCCUAAUGGUUAACUCUCUUUUUUUUAUGCUACAUUAUAUAAGUUUAGUAUCAAAAAUAUUAAGUCCAAGAGAGAAAACAAUCUUUAAUUAAGAAUUACAAAAAAUACAUGCCUUUGAUCUGCUAAUUAGUGAAUUUAUU